GCCCGGAUGGUCUAGUGGUAUGAUUCUCCGUUUGGGUCGGAGAGGUCCCGCGUUCAAACCGCGGUUCGGGCC